UUAUGGUGCUUCAGAAAAAACUUGCAGAACACAGUAACUUAUCUUUUUCACGAAUCAGAUUGUCUUAAAACUUGCUAGAGGUGUUAAAUAUUGUGCAUGGGACUGUUGUUUGUGAAUAGCUACUCAAAAUAAUAAGAUUUACACGCUCUGAAAAUCACCUUUUUGUCUAAAAAUCUACGAAAAACAUGGCCGCGGUGCGCAAAUAAUGAGUUGGUUAUUUCAAAAAUGUCCUAUUAUUCUUCAGUAAAACUUCUUGUUAAUUUAAGACUGUAAUAACUUGCUUGACAUACCCAUAGGCAAAUAUCUGUUAUCGGUGUAAUUACACCUUUGGAGAAAAGCGUGAUUCGCACGUUUUAAUUUCAUCAUUCGCCGCCUGAAGAGACAAGAUGGCGGAGCUUGCGAAAUCGAAAUAAAUAAUAAUUAAAGACACUGAUUCUGGUGUGCCUGGUAUGUGGCCUAUGGGGAUGAUAAGGUCUGGUAUUGGAGAUUGGUACUUGAAAGUCAAUGGUUGAUCAUGAUGACCAUCUUUAAUUUAAUGGGGAAAGAUUAACCAAUAUUUGCAGCUGGAGAGGCUAUCACUACAGUUCAAUGAUUAGGUAAGGA